GACGAACGCUGGCGGCGUGCUUAACACAUGCAAGUCGAACGGUAAGGCCCUUCGGGGUACGACGAGUGGCGAACGGGUGGAGUAACACGUGGGUGAUCUGCCCUGCACUUCGGGAUAAGCCUGGGAAACUGGGUCUAAUACCGGAUAGGACCAUGGACUUCACGGUUUGUGGUGGAAAGCUUUUGCGGUGUGGGAUGGGCCCGCGGCCUAUCAGCUUGUUGGUGGGGUAAUGGCCUACCAAGGCGACGACGGGUAGCCGGCCUGAGAGGGUGUCCGGCCACACUGGGACUGAGAUACGGCCCAGACUCCUACGGGAGGCAGCAGUGGGGAAUAUUGCACAAUGGGCGCAAGCCUGAUGCAGCGACGCCGCGUGAGGGAUGACGGCC
rnacentral:rRNA from 1 species